CCUCCUUAAAGAGAGAUACGUUUGGUGCAGGCGUUCACACAUAUUGCUUAUUUUACCUAAAUUUUCUUUACUGAAAAUCAAAGGUUAGUUCUUUAACAUUUUUAUAAGUUCAAUCAAGUCACAUUUAAUUAUUGAUAUAAAAAUUUAUUUUUUUAUUAGAUAGUGAGAAUGUGCAAAUUAACAGUUUAUAAGAGAUUUCCUUUUCCUAUAUCCGGAAAUCUUGUUAUAGACAACUGCAAAGUAAUUUGGCGUUUUUGUGUUUUUUUAAAAACACAUAUAGUAGAUAGAAAUACUUGUUAAAUAUUCAUUAAGUUAAUUGAUGUAAUAUGGUCAAGUAAUGAAGUGCAAACGGUGGAUGCCUUGGCAGCUAGAGGCGAUGAAGGACGUAGUAACUUGCGAUAAGCUUCGGGGAGUCGGUAACAGACUUUGAUCCGGAGAUUCCGA
rnacentral:misc_RNA from 1 species